UUUCCGUAGGUGAACCUGCGGAAGGAUCAUUAUUGUAUAACCGAGGUGCGAGGGCUGUCGCUGACCCGAAAGGUCGUGCACACCCGAGUGCCCUCACACACAUCCAUCUCACCCCUAUGUGCACCACCGCGUCGGUCCCCCUUUGGCUGGUUCGGAGGGGGGCUUACGUUUUCACACAAACUUUGUAUGCAGUGUAGAAUGUAUUUUUUGUUUUUGCGAUCACGCAAUCAAUACAACUUUCAACAACGGAUCUCUUGGCUCUC
rnacentral:misc_RNA from 1 species